CCACGCAGUCGAGCAGCCUCGUGGCUCCCACGGCCUGUUGGGCCGUGUUGGGCGCCCAGCAGUUCGAGGCCAUGUUCAUGGCC